GUUGAACACUCAGGUUAUGGAAUGAGGUCCCUGCCGAGGUUUUCCCAAGAGAUUACAGCAUGGGGUUCUUCAAAUGAGGGUUCGUCCAGAAUGGGAACGUUAAUUCGAAAGGUAGUCCAAGGUAUUUGCAGCAGUCGUCGCCAUAUAUUGAUACAUCUAGAAGUAUCACAUCGCACUACGAGUAUAAGCGAAUCGUCCCAGUUACACGCGGUGCAUUCGCAAGGUUGCAGCAAAUGCAACACAGAUGCGAUGCGCGUGCGCCCAC